UAGGGAAUCUUCCGCAAUGGACGAAAGUCUGACGGAGCAACGCCGCGUGAGCGAAGAAGGCCUUCGGGUCGUAAAGCUCUGUUGUUAGGGAAGAACAAGUAUCGGAGUAACUGCCGGUACCUUGACGGUACCUAACCAGAAAGCCACGGCUAACUACGUGCCAGCAGCCGCGGUAAUACGUAGGUGGCAAGCGUUGUCCGGAAUUAUUGGGCGUAAAGCGCGCGCAGGCGGUCCUUUAAGUCUGAUGUGAAAGCCCACGGCUCAACCGUGGAGGGUCAUUGGAAACUGGGGGACUUGAGUGCAGAAGAGGAGAGUGGAAUUCCACGUGUAGCGGUGAAAUGCGUAGAGAUGUGGAGGAACACCAGUGGCGAAGGCGACUCUCUGGUCUGUAACUGACGCUGAGGCGCGAAAGCGUGGGGAGCAAACAGGAUUAGAUACCCUGGUAGUCCACGCCGUAAACGAUGAGUGCUAAGUGUUAGA
rnacentral:rRNA from 1 species